rnacentral:rRNA from 1 species
AGGACGAACGCUGGCGGCGUGCUUAACACAUGCAAGUCGAACGGAAAGGCCCUUCGGGGUACUCGAGUGGCGAACGGGUGAGUAACACGUGGGUGAUCUGCCCCGCACUUUGGGAUAAGCCUGGGAAACUGGGUCUAAUACCGAAUAGGACCAUGGGAUGCAUGUCCUGUGGUGGAAAGCUUUUGCGGUGUGGGAUGGGCCCGCGGCCUAUCAGCUUGUUGGUGGGGUUAAGGCCUACCAAGGCGACGACGGGUAGCCGGCCUGAGAGGGUGUCCGGCCACACUGGGACUGAGAGACGGCCCAGACUCCUACGGGAGGCAGCAGUGGGGAAUCUUGCGCAAUGGCCGAAAGGCUGACGCAGCGACGCCGCGUGUGGGAGGACGCCCUUCGGGGUGUAAACCACUGUUGCCCGGGACGAACAUCCACUUUCGAGUGGACUGACGGUACCGGGUGAGGAAGCACCGGCUAACUCCGCGCCAGCAGCCGC